rnacentral:tRNA from 2 species
GCCCGGGUGGCGGAACGGUAGACGCGGCGGACUCAAAAUUCGCUUCCGGCAACGGAGUGAGGGUUCGAAUCCCUCCCCGGGUA